ACCGUGAUAAGCUCUAUUUCAACAAACGGUGGGCGUAUCCCUUUAACAACUGAUAAAAAUCAGCACAAAACACAUAGCUCACAGGAUGACAUCAGGGGAUAAUGCUGAUCAGAAUGUAUGUUCUUUAGUCACGUUAUGAGGUUUUCACACAUUAUUUUUGGUAUGUCAGGUUUUUGUUCCAGCAAUGAGUGGAGAUGCAGCACUGUGAUUACUUUGACUACUGGGGCAGCGGGACUGAAGUCACAGUAACAGAAACUACAACUCUGUUCCCUUUGGUUCAGUACAAACCUGGGGCUGCAGAUAGAAUCACUGUUGGCUGUCUUGCACAAGACUUCUACCCAAAGAGUCUUACUUUCCAGUGGACCAAUGCCAGUGGGAAAAGCCUGACUGCAGCUGUACAAUAUCCUCCAGCUGAGAAAAACAAGAGUCAGUUCGCUCACUGUAUCAAAAUCUGAUUGGGAUUCAAGGAGAACUUAUAGUUGUUCUGUGACUCACUCUGGAGGCAACACGUGAUUUUUUUUAUACUUAUCAUCAUGACUGUCUUAUGUCUAUGGGUCCACCUGCAUCAUCUUAUAAAUCUUGUUUUUUUUUAAAUGAAAAUGUUCACUAAUAAUGUCUGUUUCUCAUGUGUCUGAUAUUUUACAUUCAACAUUCUAAAAUGAAUAAUUACAGACUGACUCUUUGAUGUGAACAGCAGCAACAAGGCACAGGUACCCUCAUCAUCUGCCAACGAGCAGGUACUCCAGGUGACAGCCACCCAGAUAAAAAAAGUAUGUUGACAGCGUCAACCCACGCAAGGCUGCUGGGCCUGACAACAUCCCUGGGCGUGUGGUGAAGGGGUGUGCUGAGCAGCUCAAAGAUAUCUUUGCAGAUAUCUUUAAGAAUGUGUGGUGCCCACCUGCCUUAAAAGCGCCACCAUCAUUCCUGUGCCUAAAAAGCCAAAUCCGAACUGCUUAAAUGACGUCCGUCCCAUGGCUCUUACACCCAUAGCCAUGAAAUGUUGGGAAAAGAUACAGCCUCCACUCCAGAAUCAGCAGAUUGCUGAACAGCUACUUUCCACAGGCUGUUAGGAUUUUAAAUGGACUGUGCCCCCUCCCACUGCCUGAACUGCACUUUGUUUGGACUAAACGCAUGACUGCAUUGCACUUGCACUUUACAUAAUGUGCUGCUAUUCUGCAUAAUCUGCUACUCUCCACUGCACUUUAAUAUUCAAGCUCUUCUUAUAUGUCUAUAUGCUUUAGAUCGUAUUUUAUGUGUUUUUAUCCUAUUUAUUUACUUGUUUUAUACUGACACUAGCUGGGUAUUGUAUGUAUGUAUGGAAGUACACAUGACAAUGACAAUAAAGUAAAUCUUGAAUCUCUUCCACACCCACAGAGGACCCAUUGCCUCGAAAUGGAUCUGUCAAAAUUGAAUUGAACCAACCAAGUCCCAAAGAAAUCUUUAACAACAACCAGGCAAAGUUGAAGUGUAUCAUUACUGGACAGGACCAGAAUGUUAAUGUAAAUCAAAUUCAAAUCACUUGGAAAAUUGAUGGAUCCCCUGUGACCAACAACAUCCAAACAACACAGACGAGAAGCAGCAGAGUCAGCACAAUGACUCUUACCCUCACUGAGUGGUACAAAGUCAACAACGUGGGCUGUUCUGCAACGAAAGCCGAUAUGACACUAGCUAGUCAAGAUCUGACUUUCCGCAAAGGAGAUGGGAGCGAGCCAAAAGUAACAGUCCACAUCCUCCCAGAUGAGGACAUCAUCGAUGAGGUCACUCUGGUGUGCCUGGUUUCCAAUCCAGAGCAGCAGGAUUACUACAUCGCCUGGUCAGAACAUGGAACAAACCCCUCCAGCUAUACUGAUGGCAUUAACUUCCCCCCAAUGAAUACCCAACAAGGAUACUCAGUUGCAAGUAUUUACACGACCACCAAAGACAAGUGGAACAACUUCACCAUGUUCUCCUGCCACGUAUGGCCUGGUAGAGGCGAAAAGCCUAUUCAAUCCAGAGAUGUGUCUAAGGCCAUGAGUAACCCCAUUGAAUGUGAGAAAGAGUAGAUUCAGCUUUAAAUGUGGCAGUUUGUGCUAAUGUGUUGUUCUGUCUCUGUGUGUACUCUCUGCCAUGAGAACCUGUCUUUGUGAUUGUAAAACGGUCAAUUUACUAUUGUUUGUCAUAUUGUGUUUCAAUCUGUCUACGUCACAUUGUCUAACAGCUUGAGAAGUGUGCUGACUGUUUCAAAUAAAUGUUGCAUGGAGACAC